rnacentral:rRNA from 1 species
ACGGGAGGCAGCAGUGGGGAAUAUUGGGCAAUGGGGGAAACCCUGACCCAGCAACGCUGCGUGAAGGAAGAAGGCUUUCGGGUUGUAAACUUCUUUUACCAGGGACGAAGGACGUGACGGUACCUGGAGAAAAAGCCACGGCUAACUACGUGCCAGCAGCCGCGGUAAUACGUAGGGGGCAAGCGUUAUCCGGAUUUACUGGGUGUAAAGGGAGCGUAGACGGAAGGCCAAGUCUGAUGUGAAAACCCAGGGCUCAACCCUGGGACUGCAUUGGAAACUGGUCAUCUAGAGUGCAGGAGGGGUAAGCGGAAUUCCUAGUGUAGCGGUGAAAUGCGUAGAUAUUAGGAGGAACACCAGUGGCGAAGGCGGCUUACUGGACUGUAACUGACGUUGAGGCUCGAAAGCGUGGGGAGCAAACAGGAUUAGAUACCCUGGUA